rnacentral:rRNA from 1 species
UACGUAGGGGGCUAGCGUUGUCCGGAAUCAUUGGGCGUAAAGCGCGCGUAGGCGGCCCGGUAAGUCCGCUGUAAAAGUCAAAGGCUCAACCUUUGAAUGUCAGUGGAUACUGCCGGGCUAGAGUCCGGAAGAGGCGAGUGGAACUCCUGGUGUAGCGGUGGAAUGCGCAGAUAUCAGGAAGAACACCGACGGCGAGGGCAGCUCGCUGGGACGGUACUGACGCUGAGGCGCGAAAGCGUGGGGAGCGAACAGG